rnacentral:rRNA from 1 species
AGGGAAUCUUCCACAAUGGGCGAAAGCCUGAUGGAGCAACGCCGCGUGAGUGAAGAAGGUUUUCGGAUCGUAAAACCCUGUUGUAAGGGAAGAACAAGUACAGUAGUAACUGGCUGUACCUUGACGGUACCUUAUUAGAAAGCCACGGCUAACUACGUGCCAGCAGCCGCGGUAAUACGUAGGUGGCAAGCGUUGUCCGGAAUUAUUGGGCGUAAAGCGCGCGCAGGCGGUCCUUUAAGUCUGAUGUGAAAGCCCACGGCUCAACCGUGGAGGGUCAUUGGAAACUGGAGGACUUGAGUGCAGAAGAGGAAAGUGGAAUUCCAAGUGUAGCGGUGAAAUGCGUAGAGAUUUGGAGGAACACCAGUGGCGAAGGCGACUUUCUGGUCUGUAACUGACGCUGAGGCGCGAAAGCGUGGGGAGCAAAC